UCUAAUGCUUGCUCAUAGUAAAGGUGAAAAGUUAACUAUGGUGAUUGGCGUGUGGCUACUGCAGAUAAAUACUACUAGUUUCACUCAGUCUUGCUUGAACUGCUUUUGGGUGUCCCUUUUCAUUUGGGAAAAACUAUUUCUCUCUUCUGUCUCAGCUCUCUGGAAAAACAAGACAAAGGCGAAAAUGUCUUCUCCAAGCAAACGCCAGGGGAUGGAUUUGAUGAAACUGAUGAUGAGUGAUUACAAGGUGGAGAUGGUCAAUGAUGGCAUGCAAGAGUUUUAUGUGGAGUUCAAUGGACCAAAAGACAGUCCUUAUCAGGGAGGGGUGUGGAGGGUAAGAGUAGAAUUGCCUGAUGCGUAUCCUUAUAAGUCUCCAUCUAUUGGCUUUGUCAACAAAAUCUACCACCCAAAUGUUGAUGAAAUGUCAGGUUCAGUUUGUUUAGAUGUUAUCAACCAAACUUGGAGCCCCAUGUUUGAUCUGGUAAAUGUAUUUGAAGUUUUCCUUCCUCAGCUUCUUUUGUAUCCCAAUCCAUCUGAUCCAUUGAACGGAGAAGCUGCUGCUCUGAUGAUGCGUGAUCGCAAUGCUUAUGAACAAAGAGUGAAAGGGCACCUCACUGCUUUUACAAAUCAUGCAUUCCAGAAGUUAAAAAAAUAACUGUCUACAGACAUCAAACUGUACCUUGAGUUCCUUUCGUGGGCCUUCAUGAGGCAUGGUUAGAUGCUUUGAAAGUUGAUCAAUCUUGACUGUGAUUUUCUAGAACCUUGAAGAUGUGCUGAAACUAUACUCAAGUCAAAUGAAAAUCUUCUCCAGUAAUACUGUGAGAAAUAUGCAAAGCCGGAGGAUAUCGGGGCCAAACCAGAAGAAAAAUCAAGUGAUGAGGAGCUGAGUGAUGAUGAAUAUGCGUCCGAGGAUGAGCAAGUUGCUGGCAAAGCUGAUCCUUAAUUGCGUGUUUGCAU